CAGCGCCAAGCUGCAGCCCUCGGUUCCCAGUCCCCAAGCCCGGCGGGGCUCAGGGCCGGCGCAGUCCCGCCCGCCCGGGCCUGCUUACAGGAAGCCGAGAUCCCCCGCGAGGUGAUCGAGAGGCUGGCCCGCAGUCAGAUCCACAGCAUCCGGGACCUCCAGCGACUCCUGGAGAUAGACUCCGUAGGGAGUGAGGAUUCUUUGGACACCAGCCUGAGAGCUCACGGGGUCCAUGCCACUAAGCAUGUGCCCGAGAAGCGGCCCCUGCCCAUUCGGAGGAAGAGAAGCAUCGAGGAAGCUGUCCCCGCUGUCUGCAAGACCAGGACGGUCAUUUACGAGAUUCCUCGGAGUCAGGUCGACCCCACGUCCGCCAACUUCCUGAUCUGGCCCCCGUGCGUGGAGGUGAAACGCUGCACCGGCUGCUGCAACACGAGCAGUGUCAAGUGCCAGCCCUCCCGCGUCCACCACCGCAGCGUCAAGGUGGCCAAGGUGGAAUACGUCAGGAAGAAGCCAAAAUUAAAAGAAGUCCAGGUGAGGUUAGAGGAGCAUUUGGAGUGCGCCUGCGCGACCACAAGCCUGAAUCCGGAUUAUCGGGAAGAGGACACGGAUGUGAGGUGAGGAUGAGCCGCAGCCCUUUCCUGGGACAUGGAUGUACAUGGCGUGUUACAUUCCUGAACCUACUAUGUACG
rnacentral:lncRNA from 1 species